CAAUAACGUAUAUUAAAGUUGUUGCAGUUAAAAAGCUCGUAGUUGGAUAUCUGACGAGAGUUGACGGCCCGCCUUCGGGAUGAGCGCUGGAUUCUCGAGUCUAUCUUUCGGUUGUUAGCCUUUCCCUUCAUUGGGCGAGGUCUAGUAUCCGGAUCAGUUACUUUGAAUAAAAACGGGUGUUCAACGCAGGCUUAUGCCUUGAAGUAUGCAGCAUGGAAUAGCAACCAUAGGACUAUAGUGUUCUAUUCAGUUGGUUCUGGGACCUUAGUAAUGAUUGAUAGGGACAGUUGGGGGUGCUGCUAUUCCGCGGCCAGAGGUGAAAUUCUCAGAUUCCCGGAAGAGCAACUUAUGCGAAAGCAUUCACCAAGGAUGUCUNCUUUAA
rnacentral:rRNA from 1 species